GAUAAACGCUGGCGGCGUGCAUGAGACAUGCAAGUCGAACGAAGGAUCGGGCUUGCUCGAUCCUUAGUGGCGGACGGCUGAGUAACGCGUAGGUGACCUACCCCGAAGUGGGGAAUAACUGCCCGAAAGGGUGGCUAAUACCGCAUGUGGUCGCACGUUCAUUCGUGCGAGUAAAGCCGCAAGGCGCUUCGGGAGGGGCCUGCGUCCGAUUAGCCCGUUGGUGGGGUAAUGGCUUACCAAGGCGACGAUCGGUAGGUGGUCUGAGAGGACGAUCACCCAGACUGGGACUGAGACACGGCCCAGACUCCUACGGGAAGCAGCAGUCGGGAAUUUUGCUCAAUGGGGGAAACCCUGAAGCAGCAACGCCGCGUGAGGGAUGAAGGCCUUCGGGUUGUAAACCUCUUUUGUCAGGGACGAUGAUGACGGUACCUGGCGAAUAAGCCACGGCUAACUACGUG
rnacentral:rRNA from 1 species